CUAGGACUUUUCUCAUAUUCUUUGUGAUAGGCAGCCUCUUUGUCCAUUUGCUCAAGUGACUGCACAGCCCGACUUGAGAGUUUGACUCCAGAAUGGUGGCACUUGUCGAUUGAUGAUGUCCCAAGGCCAUUGUUGAGUCUGUGAAUAGUCGAGGAAGCCCUCCCAAUCAUAUUCCUUGAAAAGUUUACAUUCUUUGGCAAAGAAAUACUCAGGGAUCGAUUGGCGGCUUCACAUUUCUGGGUGUCUGUGUAGAAUUUCAUUUGUUCAACAACUUCAACACUUAGCUUCAUUUUGAGAAUUUCAUGUAGUAAGUGUUUAUCGUUGUCAUCCAUGUUGAAAUGUGUAAUAUUGUUGCAGCCGAGGAACAUAGAGCGCUGCCACCAGCUGUUUGUUACACCUCCUCGACACACAACUGAGUACCGGGCACACCUGGAGCAGUCGCCGCUGUAGCACUUCAGGGUAGCUUCGAGCACUCGAGGUCAAGCUUGCUGGCUGAAGUAGGACGCAGAAGCAUCACUGAAGUAGAUAUACCUUCGCAGUCAGGCGUUGACAGCUGAGUUCCAACCAGCCUUGACUUGGUGACCAGGGAGAAGUCUUUUGCACUGAACCUAGUCACAGUCCUGGGUAUCUUGGGUGGAGAGGCACUUUCACACUCUUCUGAUUCAAGGAUUUCUUUUAGUCCUGAUAGGCCUCAGACCAC